GAUGAACGCUGGCGGCGUGCCUAAUACAUGCAAGUCGAGCGAACAGACGAGGAGCUUGCUCCUCUAACGUUAGCGGCGGACGGGUGAGUAACACGUGGAUAACCUACCUAUAAGACUGGGAUAACUUCGGGAAACCGGAGCUAAUACCGGAUAAUAUAUUGAACCGCAUGGUUCAAUAGUGAAAGACGGUUUUGCUGUCACUUAUAGAUGGAUCCGCGCCGCAUUAGCUAGUUGGUAAGGUAACAGCUUACCAAGGCAACGAUGCGUAGCCGACCUGAGAGGGUGAUCGGCCACACUGGAACUGAGACACGGUCCAGACUCCUACGGGAGGCAGCAGUAGGGAAUCUUCCGCAAUGGGCGAAAGCCUUACGGAGCAACGCCGCGUGAGUGAUGAAGGUCUUCGGAUCGUAAAACUCUGUUAUUAGGGAAGAACAAAUGUGUAAGUAACUAUGCACGUCUUGACGGUACCUAAUCAGAAAGCCACGGCUAACUACGUG
rnacentral:rRNA from 1 species